rnacentral:rRNA from 1 species
UACGUAGGGUGCGAGCGUUAAUCGGAAUUACUGGGCGUAAAGCGUGCGCAGGCGGCGCGUUAAGACAGGUGUGAAAGCCCCCGAGCUUAACUUGGGAAUUGCGCUUGUGACUGGCGUGCUGGAGUGUGGCAGAGGGGAGGUGGAAUUCCACGUGUAGCAGUGAAAUGCGUAGAGAUGAUGGAGGAACACCGAUGGCGAAGGGCAGCCCUCCUGGGC